UACGUGGGGUGCAAGCGUUGUUCGGAUUUACUGGGCGUAAAGGGCGCGUAGGCGGUCAGCACAAGUCAGUUGUGAAAUCUCCGGGCUUAACUCGGAAAGGUCAACUGAUACUGUGCGACUAGAGUGCAGAAGGGGCAACUGGAAUUCUCGGUGUAGCGGUGAAAUGCGUAGAUAUCGAGAGGAACACCUGCGGCGAAGGCGGGUUGCUGGGCUGACACUGACGCUGAUGCGCGAAAGCCAGGGGAGCGAACGGG
rnacentral:rRNA from 1 species